rnacentral:rRNA from 1 species
AGCAGCCGCGGUAAUUCCAGCUCCAAUAGCGUAUAUUAAAGUUGUUGCAGUUAAAAAGCUCGUAGUUGAAUUUCGGGGUUAGUAGGUUGGUCAUGCCUCUGGUAUGUACUGGUCUCACUGAUUCCUCCUUCCUGAUGAAUCUUAAUGCCAUUAAUUUGGUGUUUUGGGGAAUUUGGACUGUUACUUUGAAAAAUUAGAGUGUUUAAAGCAAGCUAACGCUUGAAUACAUUAGCAUGGAAUAAUGAAAUAGGACGUUCGAUCCUAUUUUGUUGGUUUCUAGGAUUGACGUAAUGAUUAAUAGGGAUAGUUGGGGGCAUUAGUAUUCAAUUGUCAGAGGUGAAAUUCUUGGAUUUAUUGAAGACUAACUACUGCGAAAGCAUUUGCCAAGGAUGUUUUCAUUAAUCAAGAACGAAAGUUAGGGGAUCGAAGACGAUCAGAUACCGUCGUAGUCUUAACCAUAAACUAUGCCGACUAGGGAUCGGAUGAUGUUAAUUUUUAAUGACUCAUUCGGCGCCUUAAC